rnacentral:rRNA from 1 species
ACGUAGGGUGCGAGCGUUAAUCGGAAUUACUGGGCGUAAAGCGUGCGCAGGCGGCUAUGCAAGACAGGUGUGAAAUCCCCGGGCUUAACCUGGGAACUGCACUUGUGACUGCAUGGCUAGAGUGCGUCAGAGGGAGGUGGAAUUCCGCGUGUAGCAGUGAAAUGCGUAGAGAUCCGGAGGAACCCCAGUGGCGAAGGCGACCUGCUCGGCCUUGCCUGACGCUCAGACGCGACAGCACGGGGAGCGAACGG